rnacentral:rRNA from 1 species
AUUGAACGCUGGCGGCAGGCCUAACACAUGCAAGUCGAGCGGAUGAAGGGAGCUUGCUCCUGGAUUCAGCGGCGGACGGGUGAGUAAUGCCUAGGAAUCUGCCUGGUAGUGGGGGAUAACGUCCUGAAACGGGCGCUAAUACCGCAUACGUCCUGCGGGAGCAAGUGGGGGAUCUUCGGACCUCACGCUAUCAGAGGAGCCUAGGUCGGAUUAGCUAGUUGGUGGGGUAAAGGCCUACUAAGGCGACGAUCCGUAACUGGUCUGAGAGGAUGAUCAGUCACACUGGAACUGAGACACGGUCCAGACUCCUACGGGAGGCAGCAGUGGGGAAUAUUGGACAGUGGGCGAAAGCCUUAUCCAGCCAUGCCGCGUGUGUGAAGAAGGUCUUCGGAUUGUAAAGCACUUUAAGUUGGGAGGAAGGGCAGUAAGUUAAUACCUUGCUGUUUUGACGUUACCAACAGAAUAAGCACCGGCUAACUUCGUG